UAGGGGAUAUUGCACAAUGGGCGGAAGCCUGAUGCAGCAACGCCGCGUGGGCGAUGAAGGCCUUCGGGUCGUAAAGCCCUUUUGCGGGGGAAGAGGAAGGACAGUACCCCGUGAAUAAGCCUCGGCUAACUACGUGCCAGCAGCCGCGGUAAAACGUAGGAGGCGAGCGUUAUCCGGAUUUACUGGGCGUAAAGCGCGUGCAGGCGGCAUGGAAAGUUGGAUGUAAAAGCUCCCGGCUCAACUGGGAGAGGUCGUUCAAAACUACCAAGCUAGAGUACAGUAGAGGGAAGUGGAAUUCCGGGUGUAGUGGUGAAAUGCGUAGAUAUCCGGAGGAACACCAGUGGCGAAAGCGGCUUUCUGGACUGUAACUGACGCUCAGACGCGAAAGCUAGGGUAGCAAACGGG
rnacentral:rRNA from 1 species